CGUCUAUUGUAUUUUUUGUAGAUAUUUUCUGCCCAGUGAUUUAUUAAACGGCCGCGGUAUUUUGACUGUGCAAAGGUAGCAUAAUCAUUUGUCUAUUAAUUGUAGACUUGUAUGAAUGAGUUGACGGAAAGGUUGUUGUCUCUUUUUUUAUCUUUUAAUUUUCUUUUUAGGUGAAGAAGCCUAUAUUUUAAAAAAAGACGAGAAGACCCUAUUGAUCUUUAUUAAACCUUUAAUAAUUUUUUAUUGAUUUUUAAUUUAGUUGGGGCAACUGAAGAGGAAAAUAUUCUCUUUUUUAAUUAUUUUGAUCCUUUUUUUUGAUUGUAAGAAAAAGUUACCAUAGGGAUAACAGCGUUAUUAUUUUGGAGAGUUCUUAUUGAUAAAAUAGUUUGCGACCUCGAUGUUGGACUAGGAUUUCCGAAGGGGGAAGUUUUCUUUUGGUAGGUC
rnacentral:rRNA from 1 species